rnacentral:rRNA from 1 species
GGCGGACGGGAUGAGUAACGCUUAGGAAUCUACCUAAUAGGUGGGGGAUAGCCCAUGGAAACUUGGAUUAAUACCGCAUACGCCCUAAGGGGGAAAGCGGGGGAUCUUCGGACCUCGUGCUAUUAGAUGAGCCUGCGUAAGAUUAGCUAGUUGGUGAGGUAAGAGCUCACCAAGGCGACGAUCUUUAGCUGGUCUGAGAGGAUGAUCAGCCACACUGGGACUGAGACACGGCCCAGACUCCUACGGGAGGCAGCAGUGGGGAAUAUUGGACAAUGGGGGCAACCCUGAUCCAGCCAUGCCGCGUGUGUGAAGAAGGCCUUCGGGUUGUAAAGCACUUUCAGAUGUGAGGAAAGGUUGCAGAUUAAUACUCUGCAGUUGUGACGUUGACAUCAGAAGAAGGACCGGCUAACUCCGUGCCAGCAGCCGCGGUAAUACGGAGGGUCCGAGCGUUAAUCGGAAUUACUGGGCGUAAAGCGCGC